rnacentral:rRNA from 1 species
GGUUAAGCGAACAAGCGUACACGGUGGAUGCCCUGGCAGUCAGAGGCGAUGAAGGACGUGCUAAUCUGCGAAAAGCGCCGGUAAGGUGAUAUGAACCGUUAUAACCGGCGAUGUCCGAAUGGGGAAACCCGGUGCACUUCGGUGCAUCAUCGUUAGCUGAAUACAUAGGCUAACGAGGCGAACCGGGGGAACUGAAACAUCUAAGUACCCCGAGGAAAAGAAAUCAACCGAGAUUCCCCCAGUAGCGGCGAGCGAACGGGGAACAGCCCAGAGCCUGAAUCAGCUUGUGUGUCAGUGGAACGGUCUGGAAAGGCCGGCGAUACAGGGUGACAGCCCCGUACACGAAGGCACACAGGCUGUGAGCUCGAUGAGUAGGGCGGGACACGUGAUAUCCUGUCUGAAGAUGGGGGGACCAUCCUCCAAGGCUAAAUACUCCUGACUGACCGAUAGUGAACCAGUACCGUGAGGGAAAGGCGAAAAGAACCCCGGCGAGGGGAGUGAAACAGAACCUGAAACCGUGUACGUACAAGCAGUGGGAGCCUUCGUAAGAGGGUGACUGCGUACCUUUUGUAUAAUGGGUCAGCGACUUAUAUUCUGUAGCAAGGUUAACCGUAUAGGGGAGCCGAAGGGAAACCGAGUCUUAACCGGGCGUUAAGUUGCAGGGUAUAGACCCGAAACCCGGUGAUCUAGCCAUGGGCAGGUUGAAGGUUGGGUAACACUAACUGGAGGACCGAACCGACUAAUGUUGAAAAAUUAGCGGAUGACCUGUGGCUGGGGGUGAAAGGCCAAUCAAACCGGGAGAUAGCUGGUUCUCCCCGAAAGCUAUUUAGGUAGCGCCUCGUGAACUCAUCUCCGGGGGUAGAGCACUGUUUCGGCUAGGGGGCCAUCCCGGCUUACCAACCCGAUGCAAACUGCGAAUACCGGAGAAUGUUAUCACGGGAGACACACGGCGGGUGCUAACGUCCGUCGUGAAGAGGGAAACAACCCAGACCGCCAGCUAAGGUCCCAAAGUCAUGGUUAAGUGGGAAACGAUGUGGGAAGGCCCAGACAGCCAGGAUGUUGGCUUAGAAGCAGCCAUCAUUUAAAGAAAGCGUAAUAGCUCACUGGUCGAGUCGGCCUGCGCGGAAGAUGUAACGGGGCUAAACCAUGCACCGAAGCUGCGGCAGCGACACUAUGUGUUGUUGGGUAGGGGAGCGUUCUGUAAGCCUGCGAAGGUGUGCUGUGAGGCAUGCUGGAGGUAUCAGAAGUGCGAAUGCUGACAUAAGUAACGAUAAAGCGGGUGAAAAGCCCGCUCGCCGGAAGACCAAGGGUUCCUGUCCAACGUUAAUCGGGGCAGGGUGAGUCGACCCCUAAGGCGAGGCCGAAAGGCG